ACGCUGCGGCAGCUACACAUGCAAGUCGAGCGGUAGAGAGAAGCUUGCUCUCUGAGAGCGGCGGACGGGUGAGUAAAGCCUAGGAAUCUGCCUGGUAGUGGGGGAUAACGUUCGGAAACGGACGCUAAUACCGCAUACGUCCUACGGGAGAAAGCAGGGGACUUUCGGGCCUUGCGCUAUCAGAUGAGCCUAGGUCGGAUUAGCUAGUUGGUGAGGUAAUGGCUCACCAAGGCGACGAUCCGUAACUGGUCUGAGAGGAUGAUCAGUCACACUGGAACUGAGACACGGUCCAGACUCCUACGGGAGGCAGCAGUGGGGAAUAUUGGACAAUGGGCGAAAGCCUGAUCCAGCCAUGCCGCGUGUGUGAAGAAGGUCUUCGGAUUGUAAAGCACUUUAAGUUGGGAGGAAGGGCAUUAACCUAAUACGUUAGUGUUUUGACGUUACCGACAGAACAAGCACCGGCUAACUCUGUGCCAGCAGCCGCGGUAAUACAGAGGGUGCAAGCGUUAAUCGGAAUUACUGGGCGUAAAGCGCGCGUAGGUGGUUUGUUAAGUUGGAUGUGAAAUCCCCGGGCUCAACCUGGGAACUGCAUUCAAAACUGACUGACUAGAGUAUGGUAGAGGGUGGUGGAAUUUCCUGUGUAGCGGUGAAAUGCGUAGAUAUAGGAAGGAACACCAGUGGCGAAGGCGACCACCUGGACUAAUACUGACACUGAGGUGCGAAAGCGUGGGGAGCAAACAGGAUUAGAUACCCUGGUAGUCCACGCCGUAAACGAUGUCAACUAGCCGUUGGGAGCCUUGAGCUCUUAGUGGCGCAGCUAACG
rnacentral:rRNA from 1 species